rnacentral:rRNA from 1 species
GACGAACGCUGGCGGCAUGCCUAAUACAUGCAAGUCGAGCGAACAGAUGAAGUGCUUGCACUUCUGACGUUAGCGGCGAACGGGUGAGUAACACGUAAGGAAUCUACCUAUAAGCGGGGGAUAACAUUCGGAAACGGGUGCUAAUACCGCAUAAUAUCUUCUUCCGCAUGGAAGAAGAUUGAAAGACGGCUCUGCUGUCACUUAUAGAUGACCUUGCGGUGCAUUAGUUGGUUGGUGGGGUAAUGGCCUACCAAGACGAUGAUGGAUAGCCGACCUGAGAGGGUGAUCGGCCACAUUGGGACUGAGACACGGCCCAAACUCCUACGGGAGGCAGCAGUAGGGAAUCUUCCGCAAUGGGCGAAAGCCUGACGGAGCAGUGCCGCGUGAGUGAAGAAGGCCUUCGGGUCGUAAAACUCUGUUAUAAGAGAAGAACAAAUUGUAGAGUAACUGCUACAGUCUUGACGGUAUCUUAUCAGAAAGCCACGGCCAACUACGUGCCAGCCGCCGCGGUAA